GUUAAGCUAAUAGGCAUAAUUAUGUAAUACUCCAUCCGUCCCAAAAUAUGAAAUUUUAUAUAAUUAGUAUUUUCAUUGUUAUUUGAUGAUAAAACAUGAAUAAUACUUUAUGUGCGACUUAUCUUUUUAAAUUUUUUCAUAUUUUUUUCAAAUAAAACGGACGGUCAAAACUUGUACACGGAAAUGCAUAAAUAAACUUAUU
rfam:Oryza sativa Japonica Group DNA, chromosome 5, cultivar: Nipponbare, complete sequence.